UAAGCGCACCAGCGCUCAACUUAUUUUCUUAGACGCUCACCCCAACAGGCUGGGUGAGCUGGCUGGGCUGGGCCCCUCGGCUAUCCCAGCUUGACUAGAAUUAGGAGUUUCAUUCUGGGUUUGGAGGCAGAAUUGUCCGGUGUGGAGGUGCUGGCUAAGGCCCAGUUCCGUGCGAUCUAAUUUAAUGGCUACAGAAUAAUUCUCUCGAGACAGCGCAGAAACCACCACUAGAUCCAGAUGACACGUUAAUAAGAAGACAGAACCUUGUUUCAAAACAUUACAUUCAUCACCCUAAAAGACAAAGACAGACAACAGGUUUUGAAAGACGGUGAAACCUCAUGUUUUCCCUAAUUAAGACCUGAAACAAAAUGUAACAGCUGUGGUUAAAAAUACCCCAUCUUUGCUGCCUUCCACUACAUCAGGAAAAGCUAUUUAUAGACUGACAUGGUCUUUACAUAGAAAGCCUUGGUGACAAUCGUCUCUUUUCCCAGGGAGCUGAAGCACACUGAGCCAUGCAGCACUGCACCUAGAACAGAGAGCUCCAUGACAGCCUUCAGCGCUCGCAUAGCCUGUGUUCCAUAAUUUAAGCAAUGUCAAGUGCAGCAUCAUUAUUUGGGUUUCCUGUCUGGCUAAGAACAAGAGUGGCACCACUUCAUGUCUAAUGCAUCAUCUCUUCGGGAUCUGUAUGCUGCCCUUGCAGAGAGACGGGCUCAGCAACCUAACUGAUCUGUGCCAUGUCUAACUUUAAUAAGUCUGUA
rnacentral:lncRNA from 1 species